UUGCCUGGUAGCUGGGAGCAAAUUCUAAGAGCUAAGUGCCUCCAGAGACGGACUGCAUGAUCCAGCCUUGUGAUUUCAGAUGGAAGAAAAGCUAAUAUCAUGCAGGAGAGUGACUUUUUCUCUCAUGCCUGCUCUUUCUGAGGCUCUCUGCAGCUGAAAAGUACUCCGGAGUGGGGCCUUCCCUAAGGAGAAAACUUCGAAGACACAACAAAGUAAUCAGCAAGGUGAACUGCCCUGGACCUGCAGAUAAGAAAGGUUUUCCCUGUCCUAGACAAGGAAGAGUGAAGAAGGAAAGAUAUCAAAGAUAUCUACCGGUGCAGUGGGGUGAGACGUAAGAAUUACAGCAUUCAAAAUAAUAGCUAAUCAUUAUCAAGAGCUUACUAUGUGCCAGGCACUAUCCUAUCUGCUCUCACACCUGCGGCAUCUAAUCCAAACAAUACCUGAGAAGGAGGGUGUACAGUUAAUGUCUAGAAUAUAUUAACGGAAUGCUGCCCUGUAGAAGUCUUGAGUUAAUGGUUUCUAUCAACGUAGGCGUGGAAGAAGCUACUAGGGAUCACGAAUCAGAAGUCCUGGCUUUAAGCCCUAGCUUUAGCCCUCACUGGCAAUAAAAUCAAAGCA